rnacentral:rRNA from 1 species
UACGUAGGUGGCAAGCGUUGUCCGGAAUUAUUGGGCGUAAAGCGCGCGCAGGCGGUUUCUUAAGUCUGAUGUGAAAGCCCACGGCUCAACCGUGGAAGGUCAUUGGAAACUGGGGAACUUGAGUGCAGAAGAGAAGAGCGGAAUUCCACGUGUAGCGGUGAAAUGCGUAGAGAUGUGGAGGAACACCAGUGGCGAAGGCGGCUCUUUGGUCUGUAACUGACGCUGAGGCGCGAAAGCUAGGGGAGCAAACAGG